CUCAGGAAAUGAUUCAGUAAGUAGCCACACACAAGUAAAGACAAUCUCUAGAAUGGGGAACAGCAAUUCUGUGAGAGCCACCACACAGGGAAUUACUUUUGAGGAGGUGUCAUCUGUGAGCUGAUACCUUCCUGACCUUGGCAUCUCCAUCAGUUUUGAACUUAAGCUUAAACCUAAGAAGCAGAGGCACUGUCCCCUCUGGUGCUUCUCCACGGGACCCAGAACGCAGAGCUGGGAUGGGCAAUUAAAAAAAAAAAAGAGAAAGGUCAAUAUUGUCAGCCUUUUGGAAGCGGGACACUUUUUAUCAGAAGGGCAGAAACCCUAACAGUGAUGACUGAGAGAUGCUUUAAUGUGCAAAGGCCCAGGCUCCCAGUCCCAGGGCUGCACAGCACUCAGAAAGACAAACAGGCCCAGCACUGUGGAGGCUGCAGAUAGUAUCAGAGCUUCCUGCACCCUCUGGGACUGGCCUUUUUGCUCAGCUAUUACAAUGAAGGCCUUCAGGAGUAUGCCCAAACUUCAACUGCUCCGAGGAGGUAUUUUUUUCUUUUUAUGUUUACAGUGUGAAAUUUCCUAUUUGAUUACUUGUCUGGAUAAUAUUAGUGACUCAAAUUUAAUUCUAUUAGCCCUAAGAUUUGCACUUAAAAUAGCACAAGGCUUCUGUUUUUUCUUUGCUCAUAAGACAAUGAAGUUGAGAGUCAUUCUUGAAUAUCUCUAGAAAACUUGAGUAUCUCAAGUCUUUGCCUGCAGUGCUGUAUUGUCAUGUAAGAGCUUUCUAUGUUACUAUAUUAAAGAGAUGAUUUUUACAUUGUAUACUAAACUCACAUUAGUCUGAGAUGUGGUGAGGCUUUUAAACAGAUGCAUUUAGAGUCUCUUUUGUUCUCAAGUCUCUGGUUUGAUUUCUCCUGUAGCAAUAUGCACCAUUCUCACCCCAGCUUUGGGUCGCAUAAUGUGGGAUCUAUGUGAAUCUGCAGCAGGUGUGUGUGGGGGGGUUAAACUCUAAGUGAAGGUAGUUUGGGAAUUUAAAAACUUCUGUGCUCAGUAACAUUUCAGUGAACUAAUCAUAGAUGGAAAGUAGAGAAAUCAUUGUUAUAGCUGUAUGAUCCCUUCUAAAGAAAAAGGAAAUUAGUUAGAAACUGAAAAGUAAGAGAAGAAAAAGAUAUCAGCUCAUAGGUUCUAAAAUCUGCAGGCUAAAAGGAAUGAU